UUCUGUUCCAUGCCAGUGCUUUACAAGAAGAUGGCAAGGCGGAUCUUUAAAAACUGCGUCAUCGGAUGAGGAAUCUUCGUUCGUCUGUUCUUUGGAAGCCACUGAUGGAAUCAACAUCUGUGACGGAACGGACACUACCACUUCUUCUGGACUUGGUCCGAUACCAGUCAAGGAACCCUGGAACGUCGCUUAUCGCCUAUACAGCCUACAAAGACAGCGUAAUCUCAGUCUGCCUCUGGAGCGUGGUACCGGCACGGCUAUUGCUGCGUCGCUCACGCGAAUGCGCUUCUUUGUGCAGGCAUUUAUGGCUGCUGUGUAUCUGUGCUGUGCGUACUUGGGCCACUGGAUGUGUGCAACUGGGAGUGUUUCCGAAUAGACAAGUAGAACAAGAAGCAAGAUUUGAAGUCGGCAACACAAGCAGAGUGUGGAGAAUGAGGAGGACACCUCAACAGCACCCCCGGAGCCGCCCCGCAGUCGGCGCCUAUGGGACCAUGCGUGUCAGAAGUGCGUGUGCUCAAGCUUUAAUGGUGCCGUUGGAUCAAUAAGUACCCAGGGUUUACCCGGCUUGUCGAUGAGUUAAAGUGCUUACGAUGGGGCGUAGCGCUCCCCGAUGAACACAUAAUGCGAUAAGAGUAACGGUAUUGCGAUUUCGUCAUUUCGCCUCAUUUCAAUCUGGUCGUUUUCACGCAACCUAACUUCACAACUUCCGCCAUAUCUUGCCCUUUGUAAUUACAUACUUUUCGACGGCGAUCCUCUCACUUCACAUUCACUCUAUCGCGUGAGGAUAAGGGCAAUUAAAUGAGGGUGAGAGCACCUUUGCUGGGGUUUGUCCUCGAGAGGGUGACCGUGCCUAGUCCUAAAACGGAUGGAAUCGCCGUGGUCUGCGAGAGAAAAGGAUGGCGUCGUCAUCAUCAGACGCUGUACCAUUCAACCCUUCAGGCUCUACGGCCACUUCUCCGGUGGAGUCCUACGGUCUCACGCAAUUUGACGCAACCGCAAAACUUGAUUCCAUCGCGAAAGGUGGUCUUCCUGAAUUAGGGGUAUCUCCCGUGACGGAAUCGAGAGACAAGGUUUAAGAGCUUGUUUAAGAGCUUUAAGAGCCCUAUAAAUGACCACGGAGUGGAAUCCAUGUUGGCUUC